rnacentral:misc_RNA from 1 species
UGGCUCUCGCAUCGAUGAAGAACGCAGCAAAGCGCGAAAUGUAAUGUGAAUUGCAGAAUUCAGUGAAUCAUCGAAUCUUUGAACGCAUCUUGCGCUCUUGGGUUAUUCCUAGGAGCAUGUUUGUUUGAGUGUCGCGUACCUCUCUCAACCCCGCUUUGUUUGCGCAAAGUCGUUAGGGUUGGAUCGUGGCGCCUUGUCCUGUGAAAGGGACUGCGCUGAAAUACAAAAAGCUGUAUCCUGUUGCUGUGCGGCUUGACCCGUUGUCGUAAAGCUUUGUGCUCUCAAUGGGGACGCCAGCCGGAAGGGGCUUACCACAAAUUAUUAUACACUUUGACCUCAAAUCAAGCAGGACUACCCGCUGA